UACGAAGGGGGCUAGCGUUGUUCGGAAUCACUGGGCGUAAAGGGCGCGUAGGCGGCCGAUCAAGUCGGGGGUGAAAGCCUGUGGCUCAACCACAGAAUUGCCUUCGAUACUGUUUGGCUUGAGACCGGAAGAGGUUAGUGGAACUGCGAGUGUAGAGGUGAAAUUCGUAGAUAUUCGCAAGAACACCAGUGGCGAAGGCGGCUGACUGGUCCGGUUCUGACGCUGA
rnacentral:rRNA from 1 species